AUGAGCAUCUACUUGCGGCUGCGCUCAGGGCCAUCUGAACCCAGUGCAGAGUUAUCUCGAGGAGGAGGCCCCGGGUCUCCAGCCCCUCCGGCUCCCCUGGGGUUUGGCAUAUUUGACGUGGAGCCCCAUGCCAAGGGAUGCAGCUGUUGCCAUAAUUUAACUCCAGUACCUGAUGUCAGACAAGCUUGUCCUGUGUCCUGUUUGAGUGGCGGCAGCGCCAGUGCAGCAAGAAGGCUGGGGGUCGUGAAGAUUGUCCCCAGACCUUGCUUGCACUAUUUGGAGAACCCAGGGGGCUGCCUUGGGCCCUCUGGCCAGAGGGAAGGGAGCAGCUCUAGCCCUGGAGAUUGUGGUCACAUUGGGCCUCGUUUAGGAGUGGAGGGCCAGGUCACCUCCCCAGCCACCCUUCUCUCCUCUGGGACCCCCCACUUUAGGGUGACUUUGCCCGAGGCCCACGCAUCCAUCCACUCCUUUAGUGCCUUGAAUCUCAUUCACAAGCAGCCCCCUCCCUUUCCCUCCCCUGCCCCUCACUCCUUUGAUGUAAUCCUCCCACCCCCAGUGUCCAUCCUAAGGCAUCAAAAGAGGCCCUAACGUAACUUCCCAAAUGGUGCUUUUUAAAAAACACCAUCACUACAUAGGGGCAGUUUUUUCGCACCUCCCUGUCUUCAGAAUGUAAAGGGUGGGGAUUAUGGCUCUGUGUAAUAUGCAGCCCCCUGCACUGUGGGGAUUGGGGCAUGUUCAGUAAUCAGAAUGAAGACAAUAGACAAAGGGGUGUGAUGAGUGUUAACUUGGUUGUUCCAGAGGUAAACCAGGUCUCAGGGAAGAGCCUGGAGCUGCUAUUGCUUAGGAAGUUGUACGUGCCUUGAAAUGUCCACUACCUGAGGACCCAGCGUCUGGUGGGCCUGGGGCUGCUGGGGCCAAGGAGAGACCUUGACCUUCUGGUGCCUGCCCCUCCCCGGCCUAUGUGCCAUCUGCGUGACGCUCGGUCCGCGGUGCCGGUUCUUUACCAAAUGUGCUUGCUUCUCCUAAGUUAUUUAUAAAGAGAAAUCACUAAUGGACUCUACUGGUUUGAGUGCUUCUGAGCUGGAUGACCGACCGCCUGUAUGUUUGUGUAAUUAAUUGCCAUAAUAAACUUUGAUGAGUCACA